AGUCGUGUUCCUCGUUCCUACCUGUGAAGUGAGAGGAUUGUACCUACUUCAGAGUUCGGGCACCAAGGCACAUCUUAGUAUUUUGACUCUUCAGAAACAAGAGCCUAAUACCUGAUCUCAGGAGAAAGCCCAGUCCUUGCACAUGUGCGAGCAAGCAGGUUUCCUGGACCUCUCCAUCUGGUAGCUUAGGGCAGGGAAUGGCAAGGAGGCUUUGCAGAGAAGAGAGAAGUGCAGCCAGCAACCGUCCAGAAAACCAUUUUCCUCUUCGGCUACCACUUUUCUUCUUCGGAGGUCCACUAGCGUAUGUGGCGUAAAAGGAGACCAAAACCACAAAGAGGCACCAAGUGUCGGUGAGUCCCACUUGCUUCUAAGCCAGCCUGGGAUGGAUAGGCUGAAGGCGCUGCUCCUGACAUCUAGGCUCCGAGGGACGCAGGCUGUGAUGCCUGGUGGGUUGGAGCUCCGAAAGCACUGAUUCAGCAUCCUUGAGCUUGCAGUUUUGCAUACCGUAUUUAUAGCAAACGACACUGUGUGAUCUGGGCUUUGAGUUUUGCAUGCAGAUAGCAGGGGGAAAAAUACAUCUUCAUAGGAAAAGACAAAACAAGGAUUUUCUCUUCAAAACUCCAAGUUGUUCCAGGCAUGGGAAGCGAUGAACGUGCACUCCUCUCUAGUUUUCAGCAUCUUUUCUGUGGGGCUGAGGUCUGUCUCUUCUGUAGAAGAAUGCCUCUUCCCUUCCUCCCUGCUGCCCCGGCUGCUGGGCUGCACGGCACAUGCCCUUUCUCAGGAACUCAUCCUUAGCUAACUGGCCCGGAGGUCUGGGCUAACAGGCUGGAAAAUUACAGCCAGCUCCGUCAGCCUUCCAGGAGGAGAGCUGCUGGUCCUCGGAGGAGGGCGAUGGCUGCGUCAGGCCGUGCUGAUGGGCUGCUGGCUUUCUUCCACUGGUGUCUGUGCCUGCAGCGUCUUCCAGCCCUUUCUGCACGGGGCAAUCCCAGCAGAGGCUGAGCUCGGACGAGGCAGGUUGUUCCCACACGUGCAACCAGCCCCCAUCAACAGGACGAGGGGGCGCAGAGGAUGCAGCAAGGAGAGGAAGAGGAGGCUCACAUCUCGCUGGGUGUAUCUGUCACAAGUCGGUCAUGGAGAUUUUCCUCCUGUCUUCCAGGUUUAGAUGUGUGUACGUGAGAAUUUAAGUAUUCCAGAUGGCUUUUAGAAUAAAGGUCUUAACGUUGCCUA